rnacentral:rRNA from 1 species
UGGGGAAUUGUUCGCAAUGGGCGCAAGCCUGACGACGCAACGCCGCGUGGAGGAUGAAGACCUUCGGGUCGUAAACUCCUUUCGACCGAGAUGAAUUCCCGACGGCCUAAUAUGCCGGCGGGGUGACAGUAUCGAGGGAAGAAGCCCCGGCUAACUCCGUGCCAGCAGCCGCGGUAAUACGGGGGGGGCAAGCGUUGUUCGGAAUUACUGGGCGUAAAGGGUUCGUAGGUGGCCUGCUAAGUCAGACGUGAAAUCCCUCAGCUUAACUGGGGAACUGCGUCUGAGACUGGUGGGCUUGAGGGCAGGAGAGGAACGUGGAAUUCCAGGUGUAGCGGUGAAAUGCGUAGAUAUCUGGAGGAACACCGGUGGCGAAGGCGGCGUUCUGGACUGCAUCUGACACUGAGGAACGAAAGCCAGGGGAGCAAACGGG